rnacentral:tRNA from 1 species
AGAAGCCUAAAAAAGAAGGCAUGUUUGCCCGCUUAAAGCGUGGGUUAAUGCGCACUAGCGAAAACAUCGGUUCUGGUUUUAUUGGCUUAUUC